rnacentral:rRNA from 1 species
UACGUAGGGGCCUAGCGUUGUCCGGAAUUAUUGGGCGUAAAGAGCUCGUAGGCGGUUCGGCAAGUCGGAUGUGAAAUCUCCACGCUUAACGUGGAGGGGCCAUUCGAACUGCUGUGACUCGAGUCCGGUAGGGGAGUGUGGAAUUCCCGGUGUAGCGGUGAAUGCGCAGAUAUCGGGAGGACACCAGUAGCGAAGGCGGCACUCUGGGCCGGUACUGACGCUGAGGAGCGAAA